rnacentral:rRNA from 1 species
AAGAGAAGCGAAGUGGUGACAUGGAGCAAACCUCAAAAAACCGUUCUCAGUUCGGAUUGAAGUCUGCAACUCGACUUCAUGAAGUCGGAAUCGCUAGUAAUCGUAGAUCAGCUACGCUACGGUGAAUACGUUCUCGGGUCUUGUACACACCGCCCGUCAAACCAUGGGAGCUGGUAAUGCCCGAAGUCGGUUUAUAAAGAAACUGCCUAAGGCAGGACUGGUGACUGGGGUUAAGUCGUAACAAGGUAUCCCUACGAGAACGUGGGGAUGGAUUACCUCCUUUCUA